rnacentral:rRNA from 1 species
UACGUAGGGAGCAAGCGUUAUCCGAAUUUAUUGGGUGUAAAGGGUGUGUAGGCGGUUUAAUAAGUUUAAGGUCUAAUUUCGAGGCUUAACCUCGAACUGCCUUAAAAACUGUCUAACUUGAGUAUGGUAGAGGCAAGUGGAAUUUCUAGUGUAGCGGUAAAAUGCUUAGAUAUUAGAAGGAACACCAGUGGCGAAGGCGACUUGCUGGGCCAUUACUGACGCUGAGACACGAAAGCGUGGGGAGCAAAUA